GUUGGGUUAAGUCCCGCAACGAGCGCAACCCUUGUCUUUAGUUGCCAUCAUUAAGUUGGGCACUCUAGAGAGACUGCCAGGGAUAACCUGGAGGAAGGUGGGGAUGACGUCAAAUCAUCAUGCCCCUUAUGCUUAGGGCUACACACGUGCUACAAUGGGUAGUACAGAGGGUUGCCAAGCCGUAAGGCGGAGCUAAUCCCUUAAAGCUACUCUCAGUUCGGAUUGUAGGCUGAAACUCGCCUACAUGAAGCUGGAGUUACUAGUAAUCGCAGAUCAGAAUGCUGCGGUGAAUGCGUUCCCGGGUCUUGUACACACCGCCCGUCACACCACGGGAGUUGGAGACGCCCGAAGCCGAUUAUCUAACCUUUUGGAAGAAGUCGUCGAAGGUGGAAUCAAUAACUGGGGUGAAGUCGUAACAAGGUAGCCGUAUCGGAAGGGGCGGCUGGAUCACCUCCUUUCUAAGGA
rnacentral:rRNA from 1 species